rnacentral:rRNA from 1 species
UACAGGGGGUGCAAGCGUUACUCGGAUUUACUGGGCGUAAAGAGCGCGUAGGCGGUUUGCUAAGUCUGGUGUGAAAUCCCUGGGCCCAAUCCAGGAAGUGCAUUGGAUACUGGCAGACUAGAGUGUAGGAGGGGUUGGUGGAAUUCCUGGUGUAGAGGUGAAAUUCGUAGAUAUCAGGAGGAACAACAGUGGCGAAGGCGACCAACUGGACUAUUACUGACGCUAAGGCGCGAAAGUGUGGGGAG